rnacentral:rRNA from 1 species
UACGUAGGGUGCGAGCGUUGUCCGGAAUUAUUGGGCGUAAAGAGCUUGUAGGCGGUUUGUCGCGUCUGCUGUGAAAAUCCGGGGCUCAACCCCGGACUUGCAGUGGGUACGGGCAGACUAGAGUGUGGUAGGGGAGACUGGAAUUCCUGGUGUAGCGGUGAAAUGCGCAGAUAUCAGGAGGAACACCGAUGGCGAAGGCAGGUCUCUGGGCAGUAACUGACGCUGAGGAGCGAAAGCAUGGGUAGCGAACAGGAUUAGAUACCCGU